GACAGUGUUUCUCCAUGAUGUUCUUGUUGAAAGAGGUGAGAUAUCCAGAAAAAAAUUAGAUUCUGUGUGAAAAAAAAGAAGAAGCUGACCAAUAAGCUGCCUAGAAAGCAUCCAGCCUGGGUCUCAGCUGCAAAGUCAGUCUUCUGCUGUGAUGAGGCGUGAUCUGGCUAGCUGCAAACUUGUCAACUCGCCAUGAGCAAUGCAAUUGCACCAAGCUAGAGCUCAGCUUAUGCUGAACACUCUGCAGAUGGGAAUGCAACUUCUGUGCUCCUGCUAAUGCUUAAACUGGAUGCUACAUCUCUAUAGUGUGAAAACAUCUGAAGGCUUCCAUGAGGGCUGCCAGUCUGCUUUGUUGUCCAACUCUGUCAGAUCCCUGGGAGAAGAGUUGAAUUACCAUUUGUUUCGUCCAUGGCCAGGCACCUUGGAGCAAGGCUGAGUUUUUGCCAUAUAAAUCAGAUCCUCCAUCUAAAAACCGUCUGUAAGAAAUCUUCAAAUUUGCAUUUUUUUUUUCCUGUAACUUAGACUGGUUGAUCCCUCA